rnacentral:rRNA from 1 species
ACGAACGCUGGCGGCAUGCCUAACACAUGCAAGUCGAACGAGACCUUCGGGUCUAGUGGCGCACGGGUGCGUAACGCGUGGGAACCUGCCCUUAGGUUCGGAAUAACUCCCCGAAAGGGGUGCUAAUACCGGAUAAUGUCUUCGGACCAGAGAUUUAUCGCCUUUGGAUGGGCCCGCGUUGGAUUAGCUAGUUGGUAGGGUAAAAGCCUACCAAGGCGACGAUCCAUAGCUGGUCUGAGAGGAUGAUCAGCCACACUGGGACUGAGACACGGCCCAGACUCCUACGGGAGGCAGCAGUGGGGAAUAUUGGACAAUGGGCGAAAGCCUGAUCCAGCAAUGCCGCGUGAGUGAUGAAGGCCUUAGGGUUGUAAAGCUCUUUUACCCGGGAUGAUAAUGACAGUACCGGGAGAAUAAGCUCCGGCUAACUCCGUG